CCGAUCUGCGCCCCAGGGCACCGUCGCCGUAUCCGGGCCCCUGAAGCUACGCGUCUCGCCACCACUUGGCUGCUGCGCCCACUCCUCUGACUGGCUAGGCGCAAGGGUGUCUCCAAGCUCCAGGCUCCCCCAAGGUCCUGACUCCAUCAACCUCGAGCUUGCCUCAGCAUAAGGAAACAAUGAACGAAUUGUUUUAAAUAUCCAUAAAAUUAAGCCCUGGCUCCCUUUUAAAAACCUGGUGAUUUUCACUUCUCUAUUUUGGAUGGAAAUGGGAGAACCUAUUUGUCCAAUAUGUUUUUCUACUGACAAGAUGGGAUGGAGCAUAGAACAGAAAGGAGAAAAGAAAAACAAUUGUUAUUGUGCCUCAGGGAUAUAGUUUUUCUUACCUACUUUAUUGAAGAAUAAUCUACAUACAAUAAACUGUACAAAUGAGCUUUGAUAGCUAUGUGUACCUAUGAAACCACCACUAUAAUUAAAAUAUAGAACAUGCCUAUCACCUCCUGGAUA